AGGGCGGGACACGUGGUAUCCUGUCUGAAUAUGGGGGGACCAUCCUCCAAGGCUAAAUACUCCUGACUGACCGAUAGUGAACCAGUACCGUGAGGGAAAGGCGAAAAGAACCCCGGCGAGGGGAGUGAAAAAGAACCUGAAACCGUGUACGUACAAGCAGUGGGAGCCUCUUAAUGGGGUGACUGCGUACCUUUUGUAUAAUGGGUCAGCGACUUAUAUUCUGUAGCAAGGUUAACCGAAUAGGGGAGCCGAAGGGAAACCGAGUCUUAACUGGGCGUUAAGUUGCAGGGUAUAGACCCGAAACCCGGUGAUCUAGCCAUGGGCAGGUUGAAGGUUGGGUAACACUAACUGGAGGACCGAACCGACUAAUGUUGAAAAAUUAGCGGAUGACUUGUGGCUGGGGGUGAAAGGCCAAUCAAACCGGGAGAUAGCUGGUUCUCCCCGAAAGCUAUUUAGGUAGCGCCUCGUGAAUUCAUCUCCGGGGGUAGAGCACUGUUUCGGCAAGGGGGUCAUCCCGACUUACCAACCCGAUGCAAACUGCGAAUACCGGAGAAUGUUAUCACGGGAGACACACGGCGGGUGCUAACGUCCGUCGUGAAGAGGGAAACAACCCAGACCGCCAGCUAAGGUCCCAAAGUCAUGGUUAAGUGGGAAACGAUGUGGGAAGGCCCAGACAGCCAGGAUGUUGGCUUAGAAGCAGCCAUCAUUUAAAGAAAGCGUAAUAGCUCACUGGUCGAGUCGGCCUGCGCGGAAGAUGUAACGGGGCUAAACCAUGCACCGAAGCUGCGGCAGCGACACUAUGUGUUGUUGGGUAGGGGAGCGUUCUGUAAGCCUGUGAAGGUGGCCUGUGAGGGUUGCUGGAGGUAUCAGAAGUGCGAAUGCUGACAUAAGUAACGAUAAAGCGGGUGAAAAGCCCGCUCGCCGGAAGACCAAGGGUUCCUGUCCAACGUUAAUCGGGGCAGGGUGAGUCGACCCCUAAGGCGAGGCCGAAAGGCGUAGUCGAUGGGAAACAGGUUAAUAUUCCUGUACUUGGUGUUACUGCGAAGGGGGGACGGAGAAGGCUAUGUUGGCCGGGCGACGGUUGUCCCGGUUUAAGCGUGUAGGCUGGUUUUCCAGGCAAAUCCGGAAAACCAAGGCUGAGGCGUGAUGACGAGGCACUACGGUGCUGAAGUGACAAAUGCCCUGCUUCCAGGAAAAGCCUCUAAGCAUCAGGUAACAUCAAAUCGUACCCCAAACCGACACAGGUGGUCAGGUAGAGAAUACCAAGGCGCUUGAGAGAACUCGGGUGAAGGAACUAGGCAAAAUGGUGCCGUAACUUCGGGAGAAGGCACGCUGAUAUGUAGGUGAAGCGACUUGCUCGUGGAGCUGAAAUCAGUCGAAGAUACCAGCUGGCUGCAACUGUUUAUUAAAAACACAGCACUGUGCAAACACGAAAGUGGACGUAUACGGUGUGACGCCUGCCCGGUGCCGGAAGGUUAAUUGAUGGGGUUAGCGGUAACGCGAAGCUCUUGAUCGAAGCCCCGGUAAACGGCGGCCGUAACUAUAACGGUCCUAAGGUAGCGAAAUUCCUUGUCGGGUAAGUUCCGACCUGCACGAAUGGCGUAAUGAUGGCCAGGCUGUCUCCACCCGAGACUCAGUGAAAUUGAACUCGCUGUGAAGAUGCAGUGUACCCGCGGCAAGACGGAAAGACCCCGUGAACCUUUACUAUAGCUUGACACUGAACAUUGAGCCUUGAUGUGUAGGAUAGGUGGGAGGCUUUGAAGUGUGGACGCCAGUCUGCAUGGAGCCGACCUUGAAAUACCACCCUUUAAUGUUUGAUGUUCUAACGUUGGCCCCUAAUCGGGGUUGCGGACAGUGUCUGGUGGGUAGUUUGACUGGGGCGGUCUCCUCCUAAAGAGUAACGGAGGAGCACGAAGGUUGGCUAAUCCUGGUCGGACAUCAGGAGGUUAGUGCAAUGGCAUAAGCCAGCUUGACUGCGAGCGUGACGGCGCGAGCAGGUGCGAAAGCAGGUCAUAGUGAUCCGGUGGUUCUGAAUGGAAGGGCCAUCGCUCAACGGAUAAAAGGUACUCCGGGGAUAACAGGCUGAUACCGCCCAAGAGUUCAUAUCGACGGCGGUGUUUGGCACCUCGAUGUCGGCUCAUCACAUCCUGGGGCUGAAGUAGGUCCCAAGGGUAUGGCUGUUCGCCAUUUAAAGUGGUACGCGAGCUGGGUUUAGAACGUCGUGAGACAGUUCGGUCCCUAUCUGCCGUGGGCGCUGGAGAACUGAGGGGGGCUGCUCCUAGUACGAGAGGACCGGAGUGGACGCAUCACUGGUGUUCGGGUUGUCAUGCCAAUGGCACUGCCCGGUAGCUAAAUGCGGAAGAGAUAAGUGCUGAAAGCAUCUAAGCACGAAACUUGCCCCGAGAUGAGUUCUCCCUGAGACUUAGAGUCUCCUGAAGGAACGUUGAAGACGACGACGUUGAUAGGCCGGGUGUGUAAGCGCAGCGAUGCGUUGAGCUAACCGGUACUAAUGAACCGUGAGGCUUAACCUUACAACGCCGAAG
rnacentral:rRNA from 1 species